rnacentral:misc_RNA from 1 species
AGAUGAGCAUUGGUAGAAAAUGGAAGGAGAUUAUUGACGUGACCGACAAGAUUUCCUUCAGCUUUCAUGAGGACUUGAGAAGGGAGAAGUCAGCAAAAGCUCGAUACAGUGUUUGAUCAUGGACUGGAUCAUGUUGAGCUGCUAAAUUUUGAGAAAGAUACUAAACAAUAUAUUUCGACAUACUCGUCAUUGUUACAUUUCUCUUUUUGGGCUUUGUUUUUAAUUCCAAGACAAAUCAGUUAAGAUCUUCCAUGUGUUUGAAUGCUCAGAAAUUUCCUUCAAUGUAGCAGUCUUGUCAAUUUAUUAUUU